rnacentral:rRNA from 1 species
GUUAGGAAUAUUGGACAAUGGGCGCAAGCCUGAUCCAGCCAUGCCGCGUGAACGAUGAAGGCCUUCGGGUUGUAAAGUUCUUUAGCCGAUGAUAAUAAUGACUGUAGUCGGAAAAUAAGCCCCGGCUAACUUCGUGCCAGCAGCCGCGGUAAUACGAAGGGGGCGAGCGUUAUUCGGAAUCACUGGGCGUAAAGCGUGCGUAGGCGGUCUCGUAAGUUAGGAGUGAAAGCCCAGGGCUCAACCUUGGAAUUGCUCUUAAAACUGCAAGGCUAGAAGAUCGGAGAGGAUAGCGGAAGUGCCAGUGUAGCAGUGAUAUGCGUAGAUAUUGGAAGGAACACCAGUGGCGUAAGCGGCUAUCUGGUCGAGUAGUGACGCUGAGGCACGAAAGCGUGGGGAUCAAAGAGGAUUAGAAACCCCGGUAGUCC